rnacentral:misc_RNA from 1 species
GAUGAAGAACGUAGCGAAAUGCGAUAAGUAAUGUGAAUUGCAGAAUUCAGUGAAUCAUCGAAUCUUUGAACGCACCUUGCACCCUUUGGCAUUCCGAAGGGUAUGCUCGUUUGAGUGUCAUUGUACUCUCACACUCUCCGAUCCUAUGGAUUCGGGGAGCGGUGGACUUGGGUGUUGCUGCCUUUCCUUGUGGCUCACCUCAAAUGUGUCAGUGCACCUCUUGGUUGGACAUAGUACGGCGUGAUAAGUGACUUCGCCGGCACCUCGCAAGAGGGUGGCCGAUCGGGAGCUCUGUGCUUUCAAACCGUCUUCGGACAAUUUCUGACAACUUGACCUCAAAUCGAGUAGGACUACCCGCUGAACUUAAGCAUAUCAAUAAGCGGAGGA